rnacentral:tRNA from 3 species
CGCGGGGUGGAGCAGUCUGGUAGCUCGUCGGGCUCAUAACCCGAAGGUCGCUAGUUCGAAUCUAGCCCCCGCUACCA